rnacentral:rRNA from 1 species
UGCAAGUCGAGCGAAUCUGAGGGAGCUUGCUCCCAAAGAUUAGCGGCGGACGGGUGAGUAACACGUGGGCAACCUGCCUGUAAGACUGGGAUAACUUCGGGAAACCGGAGCUAAUACCGGAUAAUCCCUUUCCUCACAUGAGGAAAGGCUGAAAGACGGUUUCGGCUGUCACUUACAGAUGGGCCCGCGGCGCAUUAGCUAGUUGGUGAGGUAACGGCUCACCAAGGCCACGAUGCGUAGCCGACCUGAGAGGGUGAUCGGCCACACUGGGACUGAGACACGGCCCAGACUCCUACGGGAGGCAGCAGUAGGGAAUCUUCCGCAAUGGACGAAAGUCUGACGGAGCAACGCCGCGUGAGUGAUGAAGGUUUUCGGAUCGUAAAACUCUGUUGUUAGGGAAGAACAAGUAUCGGAGUAACUGCCGGUACCUUGACGGUACCUAACCAGAAAGCCACGGCUAACUACGUGCCAGCAGCCGCGGUAAUACGUAGGUGGCAAGCGUUGUCCGGAAUUAUUGGGCGUAAAGCGCGCGCAGGUGGUUCCUUAAGUCUGAUGUGAAAGCCCACGGCUCAACCGUGGAGGGUCAUUGGAAACUGGGGAACUUGAGUGCAGAAGAGGAAAGUGGAAUUCCAAGUGUAGCGGUGAAAUGCGUAGAGAUUUGGAGGAACACCAGUGGCGAAGGCACUUUCUGGUCUGUACUGACACUGAGGCGCGAAAGCGUGGGGAGCGAACAGGAUUAGAUACCCUGGUAGUCC